rnacentral:rRNA from 1 species
UCCUACGGGAGGCAGCAGUGGGGAAUAUUGCACAAUGGGCGCAAGCCUGAUGCAGCCAUGCCGCGUGUAUGAAGAAGGYCUUMGGGUUGUAAAGYACUUUCAGCGGGGAGGAAGGYGAUAAGGUUAAUACCYUURUCRAUUGACGUUACCCGCAGAAGAAGCACCGGCUAACUCCGUGCCAGCAGCCGCGGUAAUACGGAGGGUGCAAGCGUUAAUCGGAAUUACUGGGCGUAAAGCGCACGCAGGCGGUYUGUYAAGUCGGAUGUGAAAUCCCCGGGCUCAACCUGGGAAYUGCAUYCGAAACUGGCARGCUAGAGUMUKGUAGAGGGGGGUAGAAUUYCAKGUGUAGCGGUGAAAUGCGUAGAGAUGUGGAGGAAUACCGGUGGCGAAGGC